GCUCUGGGAGGGAUGGCUUCGGCGCUUGGGCCACUUGCAUCAUGCUCCGCUCACACCGAAAUUGUAGAAAUAGAUGGAUUUGUUUAAUUCCCGCAUUGUAACAGGGUAUUUUUAAUAGCUGCAGGAAAGUGCUUCAUUGGCAAGGAUCGGAGAAGAGCAAUUCGGCCCACAUUCAGGAAGGCAUACAGCAGGCAUCAAGAUGAGAAAUGCCAUUGUAGCUGGUGACUUCGUAUAGGAUGGAGCAGUCUGCCAUUUUCCAAAUGUGAAUGGUUCACAGGCCAUACCUUCUUCUAGAACAGCUACGAUGCUUCACCCAGACCGAUGCACAUCACAUCAGAGAGGAAGACACAUGUGUGAUUCAUUUUGUUAAGCCUCAAGUCUAAGGAUUUACCUAAAGACUCAGGAAUGUUGUGAGGCUGCUCUUGAUCCGCACUGAGAAGGAUAUUGAAGCAGCAGCCUCUGGUAAGAAGAUACGUUGAAACCAGAGAAGACCUCAUCACAGGGCACACAGCGGAGCAGGACUGCCUAGUAAGGGUAUUCUUGAAAACCAACACCUCCUCCCUUGGCGCACCCGGGGUGUCCUCAGGCCAUCUCCGCCAGUGGAUCAAGUCACACCCUUUGGGCUGCCACCAACUGCAGGACGGCCUGCCCGCUGCUUCUUGGCUGCUCCCAGAUUGGCCACUUUCCUUCUGGAAAUACCGCUAUAUCCACCAGUCAUGGCUCGCUUGCCUAUAUGAUUGAAAGACCAGACAAUGCCUAGUUUAAUCCAGUGUAAUUUAAUAAAUAUUCAUUAAACACUUA